AAUACAUUUUUACAAUACUGUGAACAAACCAGAGUGUAUAAAACAUGUAAUAUAUUAAAUAUUUAGCAAUGAAUGUUUUAUCNGGGAAUAUUGCUUUUUAUAAUAUAUAUUAUAUUUCGAUGGAGAUAGUUGGAGUUAAGAGUACUGAUAGGCGAGCGGUGAAAUGCAUUGACCCUAUUAAGACUAACAAAAGCGAAAGCACUUAACUAGAUUAUUCUCUUUGUAUUAUUACAAUGAAGAGCGAAGGUUGGGGGAACAAAGAGGAUCAGAUACCCUCGUAGUCCUAUUUUUACAUCAAACUAUGGGAUUUCAAUUACUACCUCUUAUAAACAUUUAAUUAUUUAUUAUAUAUAAUUGAGUACUUAAUUGUUUACUCUUAUAUUUAAUAUUAUUAUUUUUAUUAUUGAUUAUAUGUACUUUGAGCUCAUAUAAUUAUAUAGGUGAGAUGUAAGCAUUAUAGGUGAAUAAUAUAUAAGUAAUAUUAUAUUAUUAUGAUCCUUAUUUAUAAAAAUGUAAUGUGAUG
rnacentral:rRNA from 1 species